UGUCCCUUCCACUUUUUGCAUCUUGUCAUUAACCAAGAUCAAGGGGUCUUUGGGGCAGACACUGUCUUGUUACUACAAGAGGCCACUGUGCUAUGUGCUGGAUCACAGCUUCAUGUAAAGAGCUGUGCAUAAUAAGACAUCUCUCCCGUGUAGAGCACUCCUAUAACACACCACUGUUCCUAACUGGUGCCUCCAAGUGCUAUUGCAAUAUUAAUAACAACAACAGUGAUAUGCACAUGAUAAAUCCAUGGAUAGAUCACAUUAGAUGGAGCCAGCAAUCAAGUAAUAAUGUUCUGGUUUUGUAUGUAUGAUGCUAUGUGUUGGGUCAGUGCCAAAUUAUUAUGAAUUGCUAUGAAUGAAUGUGGUAAGCAUGAGUUUGGUAUGGCUUGGUAUGUCGGAAUCUGCUAGAGGAUUCUGGGAGCAGGAUUCUCUUAGCAUUAGAUAAAUGGUGUGGAAAAUUACUGGCAGGGCUAAAACAGCACCUGAAUGGUUAAUAAAGGCUCAGUCUGUGUGUAUGUUUCAACAUCGAACUUUGGAAGAUCAGCAAGGGAACCAGCUUACGUAAAAUCAUGCAAUCAGUGGGCUUAGUACAAGCUGACCUGGGUCAAACUGACCACUCUGGAUGGCAUCACGGGAAGAGCUUAAGUGAAUAAUUGAUAAGAGGGUGAUUGAACUUUGGUCUGUGUCUGCUUUUCAGUCCCUUCCAAAAUAUUAAUUAAAGAAAAUCAGUAAUAAGACACCCACAAGCCAUAUUUCUGGGACAUGUGACUCCUUUAAGCAAAGGCAAAUGCUAAGCAAAGUAAAUUAGUUAAUUGGGGAACUAACUUAACAUCUGAAGACAGAAGUCCUCAGGGUGACCUAGACCCUGCUUCGGGGGACACUUGACGGACCAAGUAGCUGAGAGGGGAAAAGAAGAGAAGGCUUCUCCAUCUAGAAUCGCAAUCAACAGUCAGCUGUUUGAACUGCAAUCAGAACAGACUGUUUCGGGAAGCGAGAAGAGUACUACAGGAUUCUAGUCUCUCAUGACCUUUCCCCCAACACCCUUUUUCUGAGGGUAAACAGAAGAGUAACUUGAAGCUAUAAGAAAAACAAAGAGCUGUUUUCUGGUACACAAAGGGAUGUAGGGGAAUUUUGUGAAGAGAGCAUUUCCCAAUUCCGUUGGACCAACAGCAUUCAUAGAAAGAAUGAUCAUUACAAUAGGCUACAAUAGCUAUAUUUGUCUCAGUAAUUGUCGCGACUGAGAUGCCCUGACUGAACAAGGUGCAUUACUUAAGACUCUACUGCAAACAGCCAGAAAAGCUUGAUAAAGUACUCUGCACACACUUCUUCAAGCUAGUUAGAAAAUGGAGAAAUGAUUUCACUAACAUUUUUUAUGUUGUUUCCAUUUUGCCAUUUGGAAUGGACCCAUUUUCUGUUUUUCAUGAAAUUCCCCACGUUUUUUUACCUACAUUUUUUUUUCAUUCGGCAAACACUUGGUUUGCAGUAAGAAACCAUGGUUUGAGGUAAAACAAAACACUUUAAUAAGGAUUUCAAGAAAAAAAUGGAUCAAAAUUUCUGUGAAAAUAUUGGUAAAAAUAGACAUUUUCGAUUAUUUUCAAAAUUUUCUCCACUAAUUCUAUCAUGAAAAGUUUCGGGGGGGGGUGUGAAAUUUUCAACAAAAAACCCACAAUCUUUUUCAUACAAAAAGUUUUGAUCAUCUCUAAUUAUUAUUAUUUACUCUUUACAGUACUCUCUAGAGGCCAAAAUAAAAAUGGGCCCUCAAUGUGAUGGAGUAUGGACAAAUGUAUAAAAAGAGACAAGUCCAGCCCCAGAGAGCUUACAUUUAAGGCACUGAUCCUGCAAGCCUUAGGCAUGUGCUUAACUUUAUGCCUAUGAGUAGACCCGCUAGCUUAAAUGAGACAACUUGCAGUGCGCAAAGUUAAAUACGUGUAUAAGUUGUUGCAGAACUGGGGCCUAAAUUAAGACAGGACUCAGCAAGCUAGUGUUCCAACCAAGCAGAAGAAAUGGAGAGAAGAUGAGGGUAACGAAAAUUCAAAACGCACUUUGAGCCAAUGACAGAUAAGGAAGAAACACAAGAUAUAUAAGGAGUGGCCCCCACUCUCCACCAACCCCAACCCAGAAAUAAACCUGUCACCUAGAGAGAGAGAGAUUUUAACAUGCACAGUAUGUACAUUAUAAAAAUAAAUACAAAAUAUAAAAUACUCUGAGAGCGGUGUAGUUACUUGUGCAUUCAAGUUUGCAGACAAGAAAAUAGUGCUCCCUUCAAGACUCAGUCUGCCUGACUUUCCAGACAUCUCAUCACAGCUGGCAUUCAACAGAGCCUCAAAAAACGUCCCCAUCUAUAGACCAGAUUCUUAACUGGGGUAAAGCUGCAUAGCUCCAUUGAACUAAUGAAGCUGUGUUGAUUUUCACCAUCUGAGGAACUGCAGUUCUGUCUAUAGAAUAUUGUUCUUGUCCCCUCUGACCGCAUCUCUGGAACACUAUAAUAAUUUGCUUGUUAAAUGUACAACAUUGUAAAAUGAAUUUUCUUCCCCACCAGA